GCCUGGGUGGCUCAGCAUUUGAGCAUCUGCCUUUAGCGCAGGUUAUGAUCCUGGGGUCUUGGGAUCAAAUCCUGCAUCAGGCU
rnacentral:tRNA from 1 species